rnacentral:rRNA from 1 species
GUUUGAUCCUGGCUCAGGAUGAACGCUAGCUACAGGCUCAACACAUGCAAGUCGAGGGGUAGCAGGGUAGCAAUACCGCUGACGACCGGCGCACGGGUGAGUAACACGUAUCCAACCUACCAUUCACACGGGGAUAGCCUUUCGAAAGAAAGAUUAAUACCCGAUAGUAUAACGAUAAGGCAUCUUAUUGUUAUUAAAGAAUUUCGGUGUUUGAUGGGGAUGCGUUCCAUUAGAUUGUUGGUGAGGUAACGGCUCACCAAGUCUUCGAUGGAUAGGGGUUCUGAGAGGAAGGUCCCCCACAUUGGAACUGGGACACGGUCCAAACUCCUACGGGAGGCAGCAGUGAGGAAUAUUGGUCAAUGGACGAGAGUCUGAACCAGCCAAGUAGCGUGAAGGAUGAAGGCCCUAUGGGUCGUAAACUUCUUUUAUAGGGGAAUAAAGUGCGGAACGUGUUCCGCUUUGUAUGUACCCUACGAAUAAGGAUCGGCUAACUCCGUGCCAGCAGCCGCGGUAAUACGGAGGAUCCGAGCGUUAUCCGGAUUUAUUGGGUUUAAAGGGAGCGUAGGUGGAUAUAUAAGUCAGUUGUGAAAGUUUGCGGCUCAACCGUAAAAUUGCAGUUGAUACUGUAUGUCUUGAGUGUACAAGAGGUAGGCGGAAUUCGUGGUGUAG